GACGAACGCUGGCGGCGUGCCUAAUACAUGCAAGUUGAGCGCUGAAGGUUGGUGCUUGUACCAACUGGAUGAGCAGCGAACGGGUGAGUAACGCGUGGGGAAUCUGCCUUUGAGCGGGGGACAACAUUUGGAAACGAAUGCUAAUACCGCAUAAAAACUUUAAACACAAGUUUUAAGUUUGAAAGAUGCAAUUGCAUCACUCAAAGAUGAUCCCGUGUUGUAUUAGCUAGUUGGUGAGGUAAAGGCUCACCAAGGCGAUGAUACAUAGCCGACCUGAGAGGGUGAUCGGCCACAUUGGGACUGAGACACGGCCCAAACUCCUACGGGAGGCAGCAGUAGGGAAUCUUCGGCAAUGGACGAAAGUCUGACCGAGCAACGCCGCGUGAGUGAAGAAGGUUUUCGGAUCGUAAAACUCUGUUGGUAGAGAAGAACGUUGGUGAGAGUGGAAAGCUCAUCAAGUGACGGUAACUACCCAGAAAGGGACGGCUAACUACGUG
rnacentral:rRNA from 1 species